rnacentral:rRNA from 1 species
AUGGAGGAGGAGGAGGGCGAGAGCCGCGACUGGGCCGGGAUGCAGUCAGACGCGCUCUCCACCAUAUUCGGGAAGCUGGACGCGGCCGACCUCCUCACGGGAGCCGGGCAGGUAUGCCACGCGUGGCGCCGUCUCGCCGACAGCGACACCACGCUGUGGCGUCGCGUCGAGAUGACCCACGAUGGAGACAUCCUGGAGGCCGGGGCCAUGGCCUGCGCCGCCGUCGACCGCGCCGCUGGCACCAUGGAGGCCUUCUCGGCCGACACCUUCGUCACUCAUCUCCUCCUCCGCUACAUCUCCGACAGAGCAUUCUCAUUGAAGAGCCUUCAGCUCAGCUUUUGUGAUAAAGUAUCUGAUAAAGGGUUGGCAGAGGCAAUUAAUCGCCUUCCUCAGAUUGAAGAACUGGAUAUUUCGUUCUGCUCAUUGUAUGGCAAUUUUUGCGAGUUAGUUGACAAAAGCCGCUCACAACUGAAAUGCUUUAGGCUAAAUGAACGCUGGGCUGAUUUUCAUAAGCGGUUUGAUGCAGCCUAUGAGCGCAUGGAGAUUGACCCAGAAGCAUCAUGGAUUGCUAACAGUAUGCCUCUUCUCCAAGUCCUUCAGUUGAUUGGUAGGGAAGUAACUAAUGAUGGACUGAUAGCAAUCCUUGACCAUUGCCCUCACCUUGAAUCACUUGACAUACGUAUGUGCUACAACCUCCAAAUUGAUGAUGCUAUGAAAUCAAAGUGUGCUAGAAUUAGAAACCUUAAGCUUCCUCAUGAUCACAUCUCUGAUUUCAAGUACUGGGCCUACGUUGACAGUGAGGAUUACAGUGAAGAUUACUCUGGUUCUGUUUUUGAGGUUGAUAUGCACGAUGAUUUAUUGGAUGUGGUCAUGGGUGAUGAUUCUGAUGGUGAAUUCAAUUAUGUGGAUGAUUAUGAUGAUGUUGGCUCAGAAUCUGCCAUGUAUGAUGUCGAUGACAUCUAA